CAAAAAACGACAGUCUCAGUUCGGAUUGAAGGCUGAAAUUCGCCUUCAUGAAGCCGGAAUUGCUAGUAAUGGCAGGUCAGCAUACUGCCGUGAAUACGUUCCCGGGCCUUGUACACACCGCCCGUCACACCAUGAGAGUUGGGGAUACCCGAAGCCUGUGAGCUAACAGUAAUGAAGCAGCAGUCGAAGGUAGAAUCAAUGAUUGGGGUGAAGUCGUAACAAGGUACC
rnacentral:rRNA from 1 species